UAAAACUCUAACUGAUUUUUGGUUUCGGAUAGUUAUCAUGAAUACUACACCGAUGUUUGCAUGAUUGAAUUUAUCUGUCAUCGUCACUGGACAAAAACAGUUCAGAACUCCUCAUUUCAAUGUUGCGUGUAUUUAUACGAACUCCUAAUACAAAUGAAAACGAUAUUAUUGUUAUAAUAUCACGAUCAUAGAUUUAGAAUCCUGAGCCUUUAAACUGUCAAAUGACAUAUUGUAAGUCUAUAUUAAUUAAGACUUUGAUAGUAAAAUCAUUCAGUAAAUGUAAACUUACAAUCCUCGGAACCGUCGAUGGUCUCGAGCAAGUUAAUGGAUUAAAUGGCACUACUGAUGCUAGAUGGGAAAACAUGAUCAAACUGAAUGAUCAUACUGGAGACCUCAUCAUCAGAAACAUCCAAACUGAACACACUGGAGACUAUGAUCUGGAGAUCAACAACAGCAGCGUGAUCUUACACAGGAAAUUCCAUAUUGCAGUUAGUGAGCUCCCCCCGAGUUCACAGUGGCAGACAACUGGUCCAGUGUUGGCAGUCAUUGUUGUGAUCUUAGUCGUGAUCGGAAUCGGAAUCUGUAUUGGGAUCAAGAUGGGUUGGUUUGAAGUAUGUUGGCCAUGCAAAAAGAGUGGUGAAACAAAUACAGAGUGUGAUACGAU
rnacentral:lncRNA from 1 species